rnacentral:rRNA from 1 species
UACGGAGGGUGCAAGCGUUAUCCGGAUUCACUGGGUUUAAAGGGUGCGUAGGCGGGCAGGUAAGUCCGUGGUGAAAUCUCUGAGCUUAACUCAGAAACUGCCAUGGAUACUAUUUGUCUUGAAUAUUGUGGAGGUAAGCGGAAUAUGUCAUGUAGCGGUGAAAUGCUUAGAUAUACAUAGAACACCAAUUGCGAAGGCAGCUUACUACACAGUUAUUGACGCUGAGGCACGAAAGCGUGGGGGAUCAAACAGG